GGAAGAUGUAACGGGGCUAAACCAUGCACCGAAGCUGCGGCAGCGACGCGUAUGCGUUGUUGGGUAGGGGAGCGUUCUGUAAGCCGUUGAAGGUGUGCUGUGAGGCAUGCUGGAGGUAUCAGAAGUGCGAAUGCUGACAUAAGUAACGAUAAAGCGGGUGAAAAGCCCGCUCGCCGGAAGACCAAGGGUUCCUGUCCAACGU
rnacentral:rRNA from 1 species